GAACUCCAGAGCCUCCCUCCUGGCCAUGACGAGAGAAGCCUUUGGGUGCUUAGAAAGUUAUAAAGAUGGAAGGGUCCCCCAAAGGGACAGCAGGUCAUCAGAAGAGGCCAGUCUCGGAGUACAUCAGCAAGCCGUUCCACGUCUCUAAGAUGUGGAAGAGAGACGUUGUGUUUUGCUUCCUCUGCGUUCUCUCCCUGCUUGGAACUCAGAGCUCCAGUGCCGAAUGUAUUGGAUGUACCUACAACCCCGAAGAUCCGUGCUACAUCAGCAACUGCCCACGAGGAGGGAAGAGAGCCAUUGCUGACGAUGAGGAUGCUUGGAUCGCCAAGCGUGAUGCAGGAGACUUGCUUGCGUAGGAACUAAUCCUGCUUCCUGCCUGCAGCUUCGGUGUAAUAAAAGAAGUCGUUUCCCCGUUAAUCCUUAAUGAAAGCUAAAAUCUGCGAUUUGUCUAAGAAGAGAGACAGUGUCCAGUCUUCCAUCAUCAGGAGAUAUCUGAAGACCACUCACACAUACACACACACCAUGGUUUAAACUCUGCUGAUGUCAACUAAACUUUCUCGAUUCCAA